UGAGUCUGCGUAGCUUGGUUGUGAAGCAGUCGGAAAGCUAUCAGUGAGCGAAAUGCCAAGAAUUUUGUUUUACAAAUCGCUGAAUGAUCUCAGUACCGCGGAUUUUUACACAGAGAGAAAGAGAAAAAAAUCUAGAUUCUACGAGAUCGAAAGAGUCGUUUCAAAAAGAGUCAGUAAGAAAAAGAUUGAAUAUUUCAUCAAGUGGAAGGGCUACUCGAGCCUACAAAACUCCUGGGAGCCAGAAGAGAAUUUAAACGCCUUUGCUUUGAGGUCAUUCAACAACCCAAGGCUCACACAGCAAGAGAUUGCUGAUGCCAAUUCUUUCCCGGGACUGUGAGAAGUUCCAUUAGUAGACUAUAUCGACCUGAACGGCAAGCUUUGCAAUUUCGUCGAAUCUUGCACUCUCCCUAAAACUGCUAUGGAGACUUACGAACUCUUCAAUACCAACUUUGAGCGCCAUUACACGACCAACAGAGCUCCCUUUUACAUGCUCUUAGAGGAACAGUGGCUAGCUAACAGCACUUAUUACAAAGGAACCGUAGACUUUCUAAAAACAUUGACGUCCAUGAGCGACGUAUGGAUAGUCACGGUUUCCCAAGCCAUUGAGUGGAUCAAGUUUCCAACACCACUAGAAAAUAUUGAGGACUUUGUUCCCUGGAAAUGUGAUUCCCAACCCCCACCCGACUGUCCUCUUGGCACUUGCAAAACGUGUUACUAUCCCCCGGAUCACGUGAUGAAGACGUGCGCCCCGCUGUGUCCGCCAAAUUACCCAUGGGUAGGAAACCCAGAUGGAAACUGAUCCAGAUAAAAUUGGACCUGAAUGGAAACUGACCCGGAUGAAACCUUACCCAUAUAGUUACUGACAAAGGGCGAAUGCUCAUAACGUUAGCUUUAGAAACUCUUUUACCACGUCCCGAUUAUGCUCUUAAAAUGCUGGAAAGUUGCUCAUCGGAAUAUCAAAAGUUGCUAAAAUUUGGAACCUUCUUCCUGUUUCAAUCAAAUCUAAUUUGUCAAAUCUUAGCUUUGAGACGAAAAUGCACGAGUUUUCUCUUCCUGUUUCAAAUAAAAUCAAUCAAAUUUUCCUAGCUUUGAGGCGAAAAUGCACGAGUUUUUACUUAAAUGAUCACUAAUUUGGCCGAGCUGCACAUUUGCAGCGCUUAUUCUUUUUUGAAUACAUUGUUGUAAGUGAGUUGAAUCGGCUUCCUGGGUAACCUCGCCUUCUAUAAAUUUUAAUG